rnacentral:lncRNA from 1 species
GAGCAUGCACAUUCACCCGUGUUCAAAAACCCUAUCUACCUACUUAUAAUACAGUGUUCAUUUAUCUCUCAAAACAACGGUAGUUUUGAACAUUUGAAACGGAAAUUUGUAACUUUCUGGAUUUUAGGCAGCUGUUUCUUCCCUUGUAUGCUGUUUUAGGAGUUUCUACAGCAGUACCCUGCAGAUCCUCCCAGAAUAGAUUGUUAUUAGGAUUUAAAAUCCAUGAUGAAAUUCCAGGGUGUUUUUUUCCAUUUAAAAUGUGCACUUGGAAUUUUAUAUAUUUUCAUUAGGCCUUAUUACCUGGCCACUGACCAACUGUUGUUACCUACAGAAGAACCCUUUUCUGCUCGGCAGUGGUGGUCUAAGCCUUUAGUCCCAGAACUCAGGGAGCAGAGGCAGGUGGAUCUCUUGAGUUUGAGGCCAGUCUGGUCUACAGAGCAAGUUUCAGGACAAAGAUACAAAAAAAAAAAAGAAAAGAGAAGAAAAAGAGAAAAACAUGUCUGGGGAAAAAAUUCAUUUUUUACAAGAGUAAGAUAUUACAUUCUAAAGCUUUCUGCCUAUGAUUUGUUCAAAUUUUUCUUCUGGUGUGUGGUCAUGAAUGUGUAGAACAUAAGACAACUUUUUGGAGUCGGUUGUCUCCUUAUACCAAACUCAGGUUAUGAGGCUUAGUGGCAAAUCCCAUCUCACUGGCUAUCUCCCAUGAAAGACAGUUUACAUGUGAGCAAAUGCACAUAGCCUCAGUUGACUACUGACUGCUACUAUCGCUAAGUCACUUUAACUAAAAUCUAGGAACUCUUUUUUUUUUUAUUUUAGAAAAAUGUGAGUAACUGGGCGAGUUGGGCUUCCUUCUUACCUUCAGGUAAUAGUAUGGGUUGUUGAGUGCAGUGUGAAGAGCGAUUCUUGGAGCAGCAUUUAAGUGCUCACGGAGUGUGUUGGCAGCACUGAAGUACACUACCUCAUGCAGAGGCUGGCUCUCAGGAGGCAGAAGGUAGUCUCUGAAACCGGGAAAUCAGGUGCCAGCUUUAGAUACAUACAUUUAUACAUACAUACAUACACGUACAGGUUGGUUUUCAAUUCCACAGUUUUGUCAAUCUUCUAUGAGUAUUUGCUGCUUAAUAAACAGUGAACUCAGCAACCAAACAAACACCAAGUAAUGGAACCCAUAUAGUUUCACCUAGUUUUAUAUGUCAAUACUACUUUUAAAACUUUCUCUGUAUUUGUGAUAUCUGGAAUUAAUGUUUUCCCCAGGCAGCAGGGCACAUCUCUGAGGCAUUUUUCCUAAUUGGAUCUGCCCUCAACACUGUCCUGGGAAAUGAAAAUUUGCACUUUCAGGAUGGUCAAGAUCAUUGUAGUCACCAAAAAACUACACCCCCCCCCC